rnacentral:misc_RNA from 1 species
AAAUGAAUUAAUUGUAAUUUGACCAACAUUCUCUCCAUAUUUAACAAUGAUUUGGAUUUGCUUGGGGAGUACUCUAGCGCAUUUGGUGCUACUCAAUGUUAGAACAUAACAUCAUUGUAGUCAUCCCUUUUCCUUGGAAUUUCUUGUAUUCCGACAUUGUCAAAUCCAAAUAUGGCGUUGAAGCUAUUAAUGUCCAUCUCCCUAUCGACUCCCAUUAACCUAAAAGUAAGUUUUUCUCUAUUUUCCCUAUUUGUUGGCCAUAGUGUCAUCUUGAAACCUCCUAAGAACUCAAGGGUUAGGUCUCUAUAGGUUGGAAAUUUAAAUGUUACAAAUUUGGUCCAUCCUAUAUUGAUAAGAAAUGUGUCUACAUCAUUCUUUAACGCUGUUUGUUCUAAAAUUCCUUCAUCCAAGUACUUUGUGCAUAUUACCUUUCCUUUUUUGGAGAGAGGGAGGUGUAAAGUACUCUGUGGGCAUCAUCUUGGGAUGGCCAUGCCAGUGCUAAUGGUGGUGCGAUAGGGGCAAGUGGUGCUUCCCUUGGUGGCUGGGACGGAGAGGCAACUGAAGGGUGUAGGUUUGUUGUGAUUGCGGUGUUUGGUAUCGCUAGGUAGGCGGUGAGUUGUGCGCUGUCCUUCGCUAGGAGGAAGCUCGUCUUGCAGGUCUCUUCCUGGGUCCCAUUGUAUCGUGAUUUAGGGUUAGGAAUUAGGGAUUUUAGGGAAAAGGAGAGAAAUUGGGGAGGUUGGUUGGCUUUUGGAUUAUGUGCGAUGUAGAGGGAGUUGGAAGUUUCUAAUGAAGUUGGAGAGAAUCACGUGAAGAAGGGUUUUAAAAUAGUUGUCGUUUCGGGUUACAUGGGUCAUGUAUCAGUAUAUGGGUCAGACUCGUGUAACUUGCUAUUGUGUGAAAGUGGAGUGCAAUUUGAUAUAACACUGGUUUUUUAGCAUUGCACGAGUAUGAGUAUCAUUACAUGGGUCAGACUCGUGCAACUUACUGGAAUUUGUAAUUUUGCAUUUUUUUCUUUGUAUGGGUUCCAUGUGUUACACGGGUCAUGUAACAUUAUGCGGGGGAGACCCGUGUAACCUAUUAUUUUCUUCUUUUCUUAUUUGCACAUUUUUUUUUAAGUUGUGUGCUAGUUAAACCCAUUUGACCCUUUGUAGAAAUUAGACCAGGAUCUGCAUAUGACCCUUGUUGCAUUCCUAACUUUUGUGUUUUCUAUGAAUUUAGCACAGGUAACUCUAUUAAGAGUGUCAAAACAACAAUCAUCAUCUUUUCUUAACCUAUAUUGUAAUUUGCAUAAUAAUGUUCACAUGAUAAAAUGGAGUUAAGAAAGCGUCCCUUUUCAUAGGUCGUUGUCCUUGUGAUUUUCAUGCUUGGCUUAUCCAACUCUUGUUCUCGAUCUUGCUGCUUUUGUCUUGUCAUUGGAAUUGAACUUGGGGGUUUAGAAAGAAGAA